rnacentral:snRNA from 1 species
AUGGUAUCAGAGCAAAAUAUCUCG